GGGGCUUCGCGCGCGCC
rnacentral:miRNA from 1 species